GUGGGACUGGUGCUAUUGCUUGCUUAUGAUUACUUGGCACUUGCUAGUUGAUGCAUUAACUAACAGGUCAAGUCAACUCAAUCUAAUGCAAAUGCAUUAAUACAGUGGAAACAAUCAUUCGUCUAUGAGAUACAAGAUCAGAACUUAGUUACUAUUCCCACACUCUGGUGGUAUUUUCCAGUGCCAUUCUUCUGAACGAGAAUAAAUCAGGUGGAAAGCAAACUGCAGGAAAAGUAUUUCAGAUGUUUCAAUCUAUGCAAGAAAGAGGCAUAUGAUACUGUCUUAAUAUAAAUUUGAAAAAGUACAUCUGCAUAUCUCAAUAUAUGAAUCUACUGAAGAACAAUUGAAGCAAAAUGUCAUAAAAGGGUCAAAAUUUCAAACUCCACUAUAUGCAGCAUCCCACUAUGAGGCAUAGUGGUUGACUGCGAAGCCAUAGCUAAGAUCACAGCAUUCCCAAUCUGAACGCCUGCAAAUACAGUUCAGAUGCAGUUUACUUGCCACAAUCAUCAAAAAGAAUGUCAAAUAAUCUGGUUAUCAGAUAUACCAAUUUAGAGGUUAAUCAUUCCGUUGAGAGAUGCAGCUGACACUAAAGAAUGAAGAUGACAGAGAAACUCCUUGAAACCCCACUCAGCAAGUUCCGUUUCUAUCAUACAUUUUGCGUUGCAAUUUUUAUCAGUAUUGAAGUUUGUAUCCUCCUUGUAGAGUGUAAAAUGGUGCAUUUAUCAAAUUUUUCAUUCUCCUCUUAUCUUUAGCUAGCAACAUAUGCUAUUCAUUUAAUGUUUUCAGUUCAGCUAUUCAGUAUUGAUUGCCUCUAGAAAAUUUACAUGUGAUUAUAAUAUGAGGUAACAUAUCAAUGCUAAGAUAAUGCAUGAUUAGGGAAUGCCAAAUCUCCCAAAGCUGUGAAUAUAAGAGUAAAAUGGCAUCCAACACUUGCCUCUAACACAGUUUAAUUUGGUCGUCUACAGUCCUAUCUGUGAAAAGUUUUGAUGCCCGAUUGAAGUGCAAAAGGAAUAACUCACAAACUUAAUUAUACAAGCAAUUCUGAGUUGUAUAUGCGCAAUUUACAGAAGAAAGAAAGACCAGCAUACAAUAUUCCACAAGAUUCAAGAAUCUUAACUAUCAAGCAGCUAUUCUUCCUUCCUUUCAACUUUUAUGCAAUCUCAUUAUGACGAGUAAAUGAAAUUGUUCUGUAACCAAAAUGAAAGAACGUUUAUAACAGAGCUGAAUGGGUGAAAAAAGGAUCCCUAUCACCAAAUCCAUCUAGUUUGGGAUUAAGACUGAGUUAUUGUUGUUGUUGUUAUGUUUUGAGCAAAGGCGAAGGGUGAUUCAGAAACUUCUUUGUCAUUAAUAUUUUACCAAAGAUUCUCACCUUUGCAACCUCUUAUACUCUAAACGACAUGUCACUUUUCAGCUCCUGUUAAAUCUUUAUCUGUAACAAAACCUGAGUCAGACAUAGUAUAGUGAUUAUCAGCAUUAGGAGCAGCCAUGUUAUAAGCUUGAGAAAUUGAAAAACCUUGGUUCAUUCAUUUACACAUUUUGAUUCAUCUGCAACAUUUAUCAGAUCUUCCCUAUUUAAUCCUAAAAUUUCACCAACUCAUCUCCUUGAUGCCCUGAUAAGACUUUGUAAUAGAGCUGAAUACCUCCUGUAUGAUUCAUUCAAGAACUGAAUAAAUUAAUAUAAAUCUCUCCUGUCUUUCACUUCUGUAUUCUCUCUCUAUUUCUCUUUUCUUCUCUCUAUUCUGUUCUUCUCUUCCUCUGUAACCGUCAAGUUAGGGAUUCUAUCCUAACAUUUGGUACCACUGCAGUGUUGUGGGCGGGCAUUACCUGAGACUUGGUUAUUUAGAGUCACAAGCCAAGGCCAGAUCAGUGGUAGCAAGUCCUGAAGGAGUAAGGAUGCUGAGAUGGAAAUAGAAGAACAACUCAGACCUUUCCAGCUGGAGAGUCACAGCAUCAGGAAGAAGCUGGAGGCCUGACUUCAAGAAUCUGCAAUUUGGAGUCAGAAAUGAUAUGGAAGGCAUAAAAAAGGAGAUCCAAAUUCCAAGAGACUAAAACUUCUGUCAAUUCUGUGGAAAGCUCCAUAGAAGAGCUGAAGUCUCUAGUUUUGGGUUUUUUUUUUUUUAUCUUUCUGGGGGGUUGAAGUCUCUAUAAAAGGCUGCAGUUGAUAUUAAAAGUACUUUUUGCGUUAUAUUAAAAAGGAGAAGAGCAAGUAAAAUUCUUUAGACAUGUUUCCCUUUCAGCUUCAAUACAUCAGAUAUGCCAACUCUUGAUCCAUUUCAUUACGCAGCAACGCAUUAAUAUUCAUCAACUUGUAGAAAACCUUCAAGUAAAAAUGACAAUAAUAUAUAGAAGGUUGAGGGGCUAUGUCUAAUCUACAAUUUCGAAUUGAAUCUCACCCCACAUUCCAAGUAAUUCACUGAACAAUAAAGCCAAAUAUUAUUAUUGAUUUCACACCUUUCUGAAGCUAAGCACAGGUCUUUGCUUACCAACAGUAUGGACGAGAGCCUUGAGCCUGUCCGGGUCCAUUUGCACUGAUACCACCUCCAACUUGCAAGCAGCCGCUCAGCAGAGAAAAAU
rnacentral:lncRNA from 1 species